rfam:Salmo salar isolate Sally breed double haploid chromosome ssa18, whole genome shotgun sequence.
UGUAUUCACUACUGUAAGUUGCUCUGGGUAAGAGCGUCUGCUAAAAUGACUGAAA